rnacentral:siRNA from 1 species
GAGAUCGAGUGAUAAUGAGAUGGA